rnacentral:rRNA from 1 species
AACGCGAAGAACCUUACCGGGGCUUGACAUCCUGCGACACUCUAGGAGACUAGAUUUCCGGGCAACCGGACGCAGAGACAGGUGCUGCAUGGCUGUCGUCAGCUCGUGCCGUGAGGUGUUGGGUUAAGUCCCGCAACGAGCGCAACCCUUGUCCUGUGUUGCCACUCCGUAAGGAAGCACUCUCAGGAGACCGCCAGCGAUAAGUUGGAGGAAGGUGGGGAUGAUGUCAAGUCAUCAUGGCCUUUAUGUCCAGGGCUACACACGUGCUACAAUGGCCGGUACAAAGCGCUGCUAACCCGCGAGGGGGAGCCAAUCGCAAAAAGCCGGCCUCAGUUCGGAUUGCAGGCUGCAACUCGCCUGCAUGAAGCUGGAAUCGCUAGUAAUGCCGUAUCAGAAUGAUGGCGUGAAUACGUUCCCGGGCCUUGUACACACCGACUGUAC